rnacentral:rRNA from 1 species
UACGGGGGGGGCAAGCGUUGUUCGGAAUUACUGGGCGUAAAGGGCUCGUAGGCGGCCAACUAAGUCAGACGUGAAAAUCCCUCGGCUUAACCGGGGAACUGCAUCUGAUACUGGAUGGCUUGAGAUUGGGAGAGGGAUGCGGAAUUCCAGGUGUAGCGGUGAAAUGCGUAGAUAUCUGGAGGAACACCGGUGGCGAAGGCGGCAUCCUGGACCAACACUGACGCUGAGGAGCGAAAGCCAGGGGAGCAAACGGG